AAUAUUGGACAAUGGGCGCAAGCCUGAUCCAGCCAUGCCGCGUGAGUGAGGAAGGCCUUCGGGUUGUAAAGCUCUUUUGUCCGGAAAGAAAAGCCUUCGGUUAAUACCCGGGGGUGAUGACGGUACCGGAAGAAUAAGCACCGGCUAACUUCGUGCCAGCAGCCGCGGUAACACGUAGGGGGCAAGCGUUGUCCGGAUUCAUUGGGCGUAAAGAGCUCGUAGGCGGUUCGAUAAGUCGGGUGUGAAACCUCCAGGCUCAACCUGGAGACGCCACCCGAUACUGUCGUGACUAGAGUCCAGUAGGGGAGCGUGGAAUUCCUGGUGUAGCGGUGAAAUGCGCAGAUAUCAGGAGGAACACCAGCGGCGAAGGCGGCGCUCUGGGCUGGAACUGACGCUGAGGAGCGAAAGCGUGGGGAGCGAAC
rnacentral:rRNA from 1 species